rnacentral:rRNA from 1 species
AGUGAACGCUGGCGGUAGGCCUAACACAUGCAAGUCGAACGGCAGCACAGGAGAGCUUGCUCUCUGGGUGGCGAGUGGCGGACGGGUGAGGAAUACAUCGGAAUCUACUCUGUCGUGGGGGAUAACGUAGGGAAACUUACGCUAAUACCGCAUACGACCUACGGGUGAAAGCAGGGGACCUUCGGGCCUUGCGCGAUUGAAUACGCCGAUGUCGGAUUAGCUAGUGGGCGGGGUAAAGGCCCACCAAGGCGACGAUCCGUAGCUGGUCUGAGAGGAUGAUCAGCCACACUGGAACUGAGACACGGUCCAGACUCCUACGGGAGGCAGCAAUGGGGAAUAUUGGACAAUGGGCGCAAGCCUGAUCCAGCCAUACCGCGUGGGUGAAGAAGGCCUUCGGGUUGUAAAGCCCUUUUGUUGGGAAAGAAAUCCAGCUGGCUAAUACCCGGUUGGGAUGACGGUACCCAAAGAAUAAGCACCGGCUAACUUCGUGCCAGCCGCCGCCGUAA